AUUGAACGCUGGCGGCAGGCCUAACACAUGCAAGUCGAACGAGUGGCGGACGGGUGAGUAAUGUCUGGGAAACUGCCUGAUGGAGGGGGAUAACUACUGGAAACGGUAGCUAAUACCGCAUACCAUCGGAUGUGCCCAGAUGGGAUUAGCUAGUAGGUGGGGUAAAGGCCUACCAAGGCGACGAUCAGUAGCGGGUCUGAGAGGAUGAUCCGCCACACUGGGACUGAGACACGGCCCAGACUCCUACGGGAGGCAGCAGUGGGGAAUUUUGGACAAUGGGCGCAAGCCUGAUCCAGCCAUGCCGCGUGUCUGAAGAAGGCCUUCGGGUUGUAAAGGACUUUUGUCAGGGAAGCGGUACCUGAAGAAUAAGCACCGGCUAACUACGUGCCAGCAGCCGCGGUAAUAC
rnacentral:rRNA from 1 species